GUGAGAAAUCUUGGGCCAAUCUUCUCCUCUCUCACCUUCACACCUUUGACUCAGUAGAGCACAAUCAAAGAUAAAUAGAGAAGAAAGGGGGGAUGGCAGCCCCUCUUUUGUUAUGUACAGGAGAUUAUCGCAGUUGUAGAUCCUCAAGUGUUUUAAAGACACCAGGUGUUGAAGCCCUAGAGAUUUCAGAUUUUUAAAUGCAAAGAUUUCAAGAGAGGUGAGGGAAGAGGGCAGCACCAUCUCUUCUAGCAAGGAUUCCACAGCAUCGUACCCAGCAAGCACAAAAUUUGCAAGAGACUGAAGCAUUCGCAGAUCAUAUUGCAUGAGGCCAGCAAUGACUUUUCUGUAGUCACGGAUCUCAAGUGAUUCCAAUUGAGAAGAAAAACCCCCUUUUAGAAAUGACUCUAGUUGCGGACAAUUAAUGCUUUCUGUAAUAAACUGAAGGCUAGGGCAAUCCAUAUUGCCAUCUCUUUAAGGAGUUCGAGCCCCUGAAAAGUGCAAAGAUUUCUGAUUUUGAAGACCAUUGAUUCUAUAACAUUUUUUCACUUUCAACACUUGAAAUUCCACUUGUAUUGUUCCCAUUUUACUGCCAGAAACAAUACAACGACUAAGAAGGAAUUGUAUGCAAAAACUUCCUCUAAGGUUUCAAACCCCAUCUACCAAAAUUCAAAAUCUUGGUUUCUAUGUAAGAGUUUAGUUUUCAAGAAUGAAUGUCCUUGUAUAAUAUAAGGUAAUGGAACAAAAGCUUGAAAAAUAAGCUUUCGAAAUUAAUAUUCCAUGGCAUCCAUAUUUGGCAUUCGGCUAGGAGGUUUAUUCUCAUUUGGAUUGUCCACAAUGGCUGCCUCAGUAGUCGUCAAUAGCAAAGAAACACUGGCAGCAUCUACUAAGGCUGUCCUAACAACUUUGAGGGGAUCUAUGAUU
rnacentral:misc_RNA from 1 species